GGAUCCAGACUUUGAUUCUGGCUCGGGAUGAACGCUGGCGGCAUGCCUAAGACAUGCAAGUCGAACGAGGUGGCCCAAAGAAGAUUGAGUGCUUGCACAAGAUUGGAUUUGGAUUACCACCUAGUGGCGGACGGGUGAGUAACACGUAGGUGACCUGCCUUUGAGUUUGGGAUAACUAUUAGAAAUGAUAGCUAAUACCGGAUUAAAUGCAGAUUCGUUUCUGUAUUAAAAGGAGCCUUUAAAGCUUCGCUUAAAGAUGAGCCUGCGGCGUAUUAGCUAGUUGGUGAGGUAAUGGCUUACCAAGGCGACGAUGCGUAGCCGAACUGAGAGGUUGAUCGGCCACAUUGGGACUGAGACACGGCCCAAACUCCUACGGGAGACAGCAGUUAGGAAUAUUCGUCAAUGGGGGAAACCCUGAACGAGCAAUGCCGCGUGAACGAUGAAGGCCCUAUGGGUUGUAAAGUUCUGUUGCAUGGGACGAACGGCUAGGAUAGGAAAUGAUCUUAGCGUGACGGUACCAUGCCAGAAAGCUCCGGCUAACUACGUGCCAGCAGCCGCGGUAAUACGUAGGGAGCAAGCGUUAUCCGGAUUUAUUGGGCGUAAAGGGUGCGUAGGCGGUUUGUUAAGUAUGAGAUUAAAGCCUGGGGCUUAACCUCAGUUCGUUUCAUGAACUGGCAGACUUGAGUAUGGCAGAGGUAAACGGAAUUUCUAGUGUAGCGGUUAAAUGCGUAGAUAUUAGAAGGAACACCAGUGGCGAAGGCGGUUUACUGGGCCAUAACUGACGCUGAGGCACGAAAGCGUGGGGAGCAAAUAGGAUUAGAUACCCUAGUAGUCCACGCCGUAAACGAUGAGUACUAAGUGUUGGGGCAACCCAGUGCUGAAGUUAACACAUUAAGUACUCCGCCUGAGUAGUACGGUCGCAAGGCUGCAACUCAAAGGAAUUGACGG
rnacentral:rRNA from 1 species